GACGAACGCUGGCGGCGUGCCUAAUACAUGCAAGUAGAACGCACAGUUUAUACCGUAGCUUGCUACACCAUAGACUGUGAGUUGCGAACGGGUGAGUAACGCGUAGGUAACCUGCCUGGUAGCGGGGGAUAACUAUUGGAAACGAUAGCUAAUACCGCAUAAUAUUGAUUAUUGCAUGAUAAUUAAUUGAAAGGUGCAAUUGCACCACUACUAGAUGGACCUGCGUUGUAUUAGCUAGUAGGUGAGGUAACGGCUCACCUAGGCGACGAUACAUAGCCGACCUGAGAGGGUGAUCGGCCACACUGGGACUGAGACACGGCCCAGACUCCUACGGGAGGCAGCAGUAGGGAAUCUUCGGCAAUAGACGAAAGUCUGACCGAGCAACGCCGCGUGAGUGAAGAAGGUUUUCGGAUCGUAAAGCUCUGUUGUAAGAGAAGAACGGGUGUGAGAGUGGAAAGUUCACACUGUGACGGUAUCUUACCAGAAAGGGACGGCUAACUACGUG
rnacentral:rRNA from 1 species